GAGUGUGGAGAGAUAAGGAAGCGAAGGGGGGAGAGAGGGUGAGAGGGAAGAGAGGGGAAGAGAGAGAGAGGGAGAGAACCAUGAAAGAUGCAGCAAUUGUAAUAUAUACUGUCAUUCAUUACAUAUAUCCGAGAAGACCCGAUCCAGCUAUCAAACCUCUUCACCCCUAUUGAGACGGACCUACCACCCCCGGGAGUCAGCACGGCAGCCCAGUAGCACCCUUCCCCACGGCCACCAUGCUUCAGCAGGUCACUUCCCUAUCGGAUUUCAUCCCGACCACCAUCGUUGUGGGCAGCUCAAUGGUAAGAGAUGUUGGCUUGCCUACGAUCUGUGGACUGAUGAAGGUUCACUGUCUCCCAAGAGCCCGUGUCCAUGACAUCAACUCCCUGUUGCCCACGUUUCUGGCCAACUACUCCAAUAUUGACACCAUCAUCAUUCAUGUAGGUUUUAACGACCUUCGUUUUAGGCGAUCUGAGGAACUGAGGGAGACCCUCGCUAGCACAGAGAAAAUAAUAAAUAUCUCUGGCCCCCUCCCGUUCUACUGAAGGGGUUCUGAAUGUUUCAGCCGACUCUUUGCCCCAAACGAGUACCUGAAGAAACUUUGCAACGACAGGAAUGUCUCUUUUUGUGACAACUUUGAUUUGCUGUGGGAGCAACCAGAACUUUUUUAAAAGAGACGGGAUUCACCCUAACCGCAGGGGUUCCAGGAUUAUUUCCAGCAACAUCGCAAACUGUUUUAGAGACUGACAGACAGGGUCUGGUAGUGCUCCAGUUCUCCCUGUCAGAAUAAGCAACAGAGGACUUGGAAAGCAUAUCAGCUCCUGUAGAAAUGGCACUAUAGUUAUUGUGCUACAGAGACAUAAUAUUCAAGUGACCUCCAGAGCCCUCAGACGAACUACCUGAGAUCUCUUCAGGGCACAGAGAACCUGCUUCCCUGGAGCCUGCUUCCCCAUGCCAAGAAUACUUGGCUCAUCCUAGCACUAGCUGCCUUCCCAGCAGCCGAGGCCAAGGCUCCACUCAGGAGGUCCGCCCAGAGGAAAGGUGUGAUGAAUGGACUACAGCUGGACCUGGCCAGGCUGGCCUACAUGAAAAAGCAGAGGUCCACAUGUGUGUAUGUGUGUGUGAGUGAUGCAUAACACAUUGUAAACUCACCAGAUAGGACCUAUUAGAGGUGAAUCUAAUGGAACUGUGCUGAUUAACAAUCUCAGGGAGCAGCUCCACCAUAUGCCAAUCUCCUCUCAUACCCGCCACAGAGAGAACACACCAGGAAGAGAGGCUAGGGCAUCCUGGCAUCGCGCCCACAGACCGGGAACAAGUAUAAUCACUACUUCAAAUGGACAGACGACUCGCUUAGGCAAAUACUUA